CACGUAUGUCUUGGCAGAGAUGGUGCUUGCAGUCCUUAUUCCUGUAGUAUUUGAGUAGAAGGAAAGGGGUAAGACUCUGGUCCCCUCGGCAUCAUGUCUUUGGUACCAGCGGCUUCUGGUCUACUGGUUCUGUUCUCGGGUACCAGAACAUGG
ensembl:snoRNA